rnacentral:rRNA from 1 species
UACGAAGGUGGCGAAUGUUGCUCGGAUUCACUGGGCGUAAAGCGUCGGUAGGAGGCUUGUUAAGUUAGGUGUGAAAGCCCCGCGCUCAACGUGGGAAUUGCACUUAAAACUAACUGGCUUGAAGGUAUGAGAGGAAGGCGGAAUAACUGGUGUAGAGGUAAAAUUCAUAGAUAUCAGUUGGAACACCCAUGGCGAAGGCAGCUUUCUGGCAUAUUCUUGACUCUGAGCGACGACAGCGUGGGGAGCAAACAGG